GGAGAGGGAAGCGCUCCCGACAGGGCCACAAGGCUGAGAAGUCUGGAGAGGAGGCCCAGAGAGGGAAAAAUGAGCCUGGAGACGGCGCCAACAAGAAACAAGGGAAGAGGAGUCAGUCAUAACAUUAGAGCUCUCAACUGAACCUGGUCCACCUGCGAC